CUUUAUAAGAACAGCUCUCCUGUUUAAGAGAUGUCAGUGCUUUCUGAUCCUUCACAGUAAGAAGAUCAGAGGCUGAAAAUUGAACAGCAAAAAAACAUCCUUCCUCGUAGGAAAAAGAAUUGAUUGCUGUUAGCAUGGAUUAAGUACCCCUUGUUGUGUUACAAAGCUGUGGUCUGCUGAAUUUGCAAAACCCUCUUCACAGAGAAUAUUUCACUACUGGGACUAUACUGGAGUACACUGUUUUUGGAAGGUUCUAAGGAGGUUUAUUUACAGGCAAAUAAUCCCAAAGCAAGAACAUAAAGAGUGAUUUCUUCUGUACUAGUGAUGAAUUUGCAGAUUUCUGUGACAUGAGCUGAAGGAAGAGAUGAGAAGCCAUCUUUAUACCUUUAAAAACUUGCAACAACAAGUGCAAUAUCAGGGUACAGUGACUGUGGACAUCCCAAAGACUUGACAGAGGUGAGUAGUUUACCAGGCCCUGUAUCUGCAACUUACUGUUAUCCUAGACUGUAAACGCAUGCAAACAUAGAAACAAACUGCAAUCAAACUGAUAGAUUUUAUUUACUUUUGAGGAAUAAAAGAAGUUCCCCAUUCACAGUUCAGAAGUUCCUGCUUCAAGCAAGUGAUGCAUUUGUUGGGAAGAAGUUAAGCACAUGUAUCACUCCACAUCAAAGAAAAAAAAUAACAUCUCUGCUGCCAUCUUACAACUUCAUCCUGAUCUUAACUAUCAGCUUUCUGCUCAGUUACUUUGCUUAUAACCUAACUGUAAAAUAGUCAAUAUAGGAUUUGACUAAGGAAAAAUGAUUCCUUUACAGGAUUACGGAGUUCCAAGACUGGAACUGCAACUCUAGAGAUGCUACACAGACACAAAGUGACAGCUAAUUCCUGUUCCCAGAGCCUACAGGCCAAAUAGCCUUCCUUAUCUAAUGAUGUGAAGAAUGAAAUAUCACCAUCACCUCUUUAUCAGCCGAAAAACACACACACACAAAGAUUAAAUGAUUCAGCCAAGCACUUAAGAUUCUGCUUUUACUUUUUGGAAGAUUGAAAAUUAAAAAUGUGAAUAAGGUCACAGAGAAAAUCAGACUGACUCAUGAACUGAGCUAAACUUCAGUUUCCUGAGUGUUCAGCCCAUGCUGUAACCACGGCCCUUGCUCUAAUUUAUCUUCCCAGACUUCCCCCUAUUGUGCCCUAAGGGUCCCACUGGACAAUAGUUUCAGUUUGCUAAAAGACCCAGCCAAAGUUCCUUUUGUUGUAAGAAACAGAUCAGGCGAACACUUCCCUCAAAAAGCACGCUGUUACAACUUCAGGUCCCACCAGCACGAGUCUGCAGCCCUGUGCACAGCCCCAGCAGGAUCUAUUUGUGUGUGAAUACGAGGGGAACUGCUCAGAUAGCCAACACAAUGAUGAAAGGACCUGCUGGCAUCCGGUAGCACUCCCAGGAAGCUCAGCUCACCUCCGAACCAAAUGGAAACUAAGUAAAGUUCACCACCUUUUCAGUUCUCUGAAAAUUACUGCAAAACCCUGGGCAGAAAGAGUGGAGCAGGAGAAGCAGCAGCAUCUACCUUUCUAAAUGACCAAAAUGUACAGUUUUACCUAUUGAAGCUCAGGCAAUCCUUCCCAGGCACUAUUUCUAGAUGAG
ensembl:lncRNA